CGAGGCAUCUCAAACAUUUUUCCAAUUUCUUGCGAAAGAAAGACAAAUGGUAGUGGAGCUCUUCGUCUCGUUUUCCCUUCUGUUUCUUUCACUUUUCUUUAUCUUCUCCAUAACCAAAUCCUCCAAAUCCAAGACACCCAUCUCAACCCAUCUUUCAAAAUCAUAUCCUUUGAUAGGUAACUAUCUCGAUAUAAGGGCAAACUGGAACCAUCGAGUCCAAUGGACAUCUGAUCUUCUCCUGAACUCGCCCUCUGCAACCUACGUCCUGCAUCGACCUCUGGGUGCCCGUGCCAUUUUAACUGCAAACCCAGCCAACGUCCAACACGUUCUCAAGACUCACUUUCACCUCUACCAGAAAGGUGAACUCUUUCGAAGCACUCUCUUUGAUUUUCUUGGCAAUGGAAUCUUUAACGCCGAUGGUAACACCUGGAAGUUUCAAAGGCAAGUUGCCAGCCACGAAUUCAAUACUAAAUCUUUGCGUAAAUUUGUUGAGACCGUCGUGGAUACUGAACUCUACGAACGCCUAAUCCCAAUUCUUUCUUCUGCCGCCGCUAAUGGAACGGUU
rnacentral:misc_RNA from 1 species